AUUGAACGCUGGCGGCAUGCCUUACACAUGCAAGUCGAACGGUAACAGGUCUUCGGACGCUGACGAGUGGCGAACGGGUGAGUAAUACAUCGGAACGUGCCCAGUCGUGGGGGAUAACUACUCGAAAGAGUAGCUAAUACCGCAUACGAUCUGAGGAUGAAAGCGGGGGACCUUCGGGCCUCGCGCGAUUGGAGCGGCCGAUGGCAGAUGAGGUAGUUGGUGGGAUAAAAGCUUACCAAGCCGACGAUCUGUAGCUGGUCUGAGAGGACGACCAGCCACACUGGGACUGAGACACGGCCCAGACUCCUACGGGAGGCAGCAGUGGGGAAUUUUGGACAAUGGGCGAAAGCCUGAUCCAGCAAUGCCGCGUGCAGGAUGAAGGCCUUCGGGUUGUAAACUGCUUUUGUACGGAACGAAAAAGUCUCCUCUAAUACAGGAGGCCCAUGACGGUACCGUAAGAAUAAGCACCGGCUAACUACGUGCCAGCAGCCGCCGCGG
rnacentral:rRNA from 1 species